rnacentral:rRNA from 1 species
GGCCGCGGGAAUUCGAUUCAGGCCUAACACAUGCAAGUCGAACGGAAAGGCCUUGUGCUUGCACAAGGUACUCGAGUGGCGAACGGGUGAGUAACACGUGGGUGAUCUGCCCUGCACUGUGGGAUAAGCCUGGGAAACUGGGUCUAAUACCAUAUAGGACCGCACUUUGGAUGGUAUGGUGGAAAGCUUUUGCGGUGUGGGAUGAGCCUGCGGCCUAUCAGCUUGUUGGUGGGGUAAUGGCCUACCAAGGCGGCGACGGGUAUCCGGCCUGAGAGGGUGUACGGACACAUUGGGACUGAGAUACGGCCCAGACUCCUACGGGAGGCAGCAGUGGGGAAUAUUGCACAAUGAAAGGAAGCCUGAUGCAGCGACGCCGCGUGGGGGAUGAAGGAAGGCGGGUUGUAAACUCCUUUCGCUAUCGACGAAGCCUUCGGGUGACGGUAG